UACGGAGGGUGCAAGCGUUGUUCGGAAUUACUGGGCGUAAAGCGUGUCUAGGCGGAAGCGUAUGUCAGGUGUGAAAGACUCCUGCUUAACGGGAGAAUUGCGCCUGAAACUGCGCUCCUUGAGUUGUGAAGAGGCGGGCGGAAUUUCUCAUGUAGCAGUGAAAUGCGUUGAUAUGAGGAAGAACACCGGAAGCGAAAGCGGCUCGCUGGUCACAUACUGACGCUGAAGCAUGAAAGCGUGGGGAUCAAACAGG
rnacentral:rRNA from 1 species